rnacentral:rRNA from 1 species
GAUGAACGCUGGCGGCGUGCCUAAUACAUGCAAGUCGAGCGAACAGACGAGGAGCUUGCUCCUCUGACGUUAGCGGCGGACGGGUGAGUAACACGUGGAUAACCUACCUAUAAGACUGGGAUAACUUCGGGAAACCGGAGCUAAUACCGGAUAAUAUAUUGAACCGCAUGGUUCAAUAGUGAAAGACGGUUUUGCUGUCACUUAUAGAUGGAUCCGCGCCGCAUUAGCUAGUUGGUAAGGUAACGGCUUACCAAGGCAACGAUGCGUAGCCGACCUGAGAGGGUGAUCGGCCACACUGGAACUGAGACACGGUCAAGACUCCUAAGGGAGGCAGCAGUAGGGAAUCUUCCGCAAUGGGCGAAAGCUUGACGGAGCAACGCCGCGUGAGUGAUGAAGGUCUUCGGAUCGUAAAACUCUGUUAUUAGGGAAGAACAAAUGUGUAAGUAACUAUGCACGUCUUGACGGUACCUAAUCAGAAAGCCACGGCUAACUACGUG